rnacentral:rRNA from 1 species
GACGAACGCUGGCGGCGUGCUUAACACAUGCAAGUCGAGCGGAGCGGCGAACGGGUGAGUAACGCGUGAGUAACUGCCCCCCUCUCUGGGAUAGCGGUUGGAAACGGCUGCUAAUACCGGAUAGUGGGGGAUGACUCGCGUCCUAUCAGCUUGUUGGUGGGGUUGUGGCCGACCAAGGCGACGCCGGGUAGCCGGCCUGUGAGCGGGCACGGCCCCAAGGGUCUGAGGGACGGAGCAGACUCCAACGGUGGGCAGCAGGGGGAAAUAUUACACAAUGGGGGAGACUCUGAGGAGGAAGCGCCGGGGGCGGGAUGACGGCCUUCGGGUUGGAAACCGCUUUCAGCCAUGACGCGGUAGUGGCAGAAGAAGCACCGGCUAACUACGUGCCAGCAGCCGCGGUAAUUC